CCUCCAGUAGCUCAGCGGUAGAGCAGGGAGAGAAGAUAGCUCAAAAUAUGAAGAAUUGAUUUCUCCCCGUCGUUGGUUCGAAUCCGGCCUAGAGGU